AGGUCACUGCUAUCGGGGUUCGAUUAAGCCAUGCGAGUCGAGAGGGUUCGGCCCUCGGCGUACUGCUCAGUAACACGUGGAUAACCUGCCCUAAGGAAGGGGAUAACCUCGGGAAACUGAGGAUAAUACCCUAUAGGAUACCGAUGCUGGAAUGCCCGGUAUCCCAAAGCUCCGGCGCCUUAGGAUGGAUCUGCGGCCGAUUAGGUCGUUGUUGGGGUAACGGCCCAACAAGCCGAUAAUCGGUACGGGUUGUGGGAGCAAGAGCCCGGAGUUGGAUUCUGAGACACGAAUCCAGGCCCUACGGGGCGCAGCAGGCGCGAAAACUUUACAAUGCGGGCAACCGUGAUAAGGGAACCUCGAGUGCCUGUACAUGCAGGCUGUCUGGGUGUCUAAAACACACCCAAAGAAAGGGCCGGGCAAGACCGGUGCCAGCCGCCGCGGUAAUACCGGCGGCUCGAGUGGUGGCCACUUUUAUUGGGCUUAAAGCGUUCGUAGCUGGGUUGUUAAGUCUCUUGGGAAAUCUGGCAGCUUAACUGUCAGGCGUCUAAGAGAUACUGGCAAUCUAGGAACCGGGAGAGGUGAGGGGUACUUCGGGGGUAGGAGUGAAAUCCUGUAAUCCUCGAGGGACCACCUGUGGCGAAGGCGCCUCACCAGAACGGCUUCGACAGUGAGGGACGAAAGCUGGGGGAGCAAACCGGAUUAGAUACCCGGGUAGUCCCAGCCGUAAACGAUGCGCGUUAGGUGUGUCGAUGACCACGAGUCAUCGAGGUGCCGAAGGGAAACCGUGAAACGCGCCGCCUGGGAAGUACGGUCGCAAGGCUGAAACUUAA
rnacentral:rRNA from 1 species